GACGAACGCUGGCGGCGUGCUUAACACAUGCAAGUCGAACGGAAAGGCCCUGCUUUUGUGGGGUGCUCGAGUGGCGCACGGGUGAGUAACACGUGAGUAACCUGCCCCUGACUUUGGGAUAACUUCACGAAACUGGGGCUCAUACCGGAUAGGAGCUCCUGCUGCAUGGUGGGGGAUGGAAAGUUUCGGCGGUUGGGGAUGGUCUCGCGGCUUAUCAGCUUGUUGGUGGGGUAGUGGCUUACCAAGGCUGUGACGGGUAGCCGGCCUAAGAGGGUGACCGGCCACAUUGGUACUGCGAUACGGCCCAGAAGCCUACGGGAGGCAGCAGGGGGGAAUAUUGCACAAUGGGCGGAAGCCUGAUGCAGCAACGCCGCGUGCGGGAUGACGGCCUUCGGGUUGUAAACCGCUUUCGCCUGUGACGAAGCGGGAGUGACGGUAAUGGGUAAAGAAGCACCGGCUAACUACGUG
rnacentral:rRNA from 1 species